rnacentral:rRNA from 1 species
UACAGAGGUCCCGAGCGUUGUUCGGAUUUACUGGGCGUAAAGGGUGCGUGGCGGUGGGGUCAGUUUGAGGUGAAAGCUCCGGGCUCAACCCGGAAAAUGCCUUGAAAACUAUCCGGCUAGAGGGUUGGAGGGGAGACUGGAAUUCUCGGUGUAGCAGUGAAAUGCGUAGAUCUCGAGAGGAACACCAGUGGCGAAGGCGGGUCUCUGGACAACACCUGACGCUGAGGCACGAAAGCCAGGGGAGCAAACGGG